rnacentral:tRNA from 1 species
GGGUAUGUAGCUCAUAUGGUAGAGUGCUUAUUUUGCAUGAGAGAGGUACAGGGAUCGAUACCCCGCAUAUCCA